rnacentral:rRNA from 1 species
GUACUUGUACUGAUUGAGAUUUUAACACGAAGUGAGUGGCGAACGGGUGAGUAACACGUGGGUAACCUGCCCAGAAGUAGGGAAUAACACCUGGAAACAGAUGCUAAUACCGUAUAACAGAGAAAACCGCAUGGUUUUCUUUUAAAAGAUGGCUCUGCUAUCACUUCUGGAUGGACCCGCGGCGUAUUAGCUAGUUGGUGAGGUAAAGGCUCACCAAGGCAGUGAUACGUAGCCGACCUGAGAGGGUAAUCGGCCACAUUGGGACUGAGACACGGCCCAGACUCCUACGGGAGGCAGCAGUAGGGAAUCUUCCACAAUGGACGCAAGUCUGAUGGAGCAACGCCGCGUGAGUGAAGAAGGGUUUCGGCUCGUAAAGCUCUGUUGUUAAAGAAGAACGUGGGUAAGAGUAACUGUUUACCCAGUGACGGUAUUUAACCAGAAAGCCACGGCUAACUACGUGCCAGCAGCCGCGGUAAUACGUAGGUGGCAAGCGUUAUCCGGAUUUAUUGGGCGUAAAGCGAGCGCAGGCGGUCUUUUAAGUCUAAUGUUAAAGCCUUCGGCUCAACCGAAGAAGUGCAUUGGAAACUGGGAGACUUGAGUGCAGAAGAGGACAGUGGAACUCCAUGUGUAGCGGUGAAAUGCGUAGAUAUAUGGAAGAACACCAGUGGCGAAGGCGGCUGUCUGGUCUGCAACUGACGCUGAGGCUCGAAAGCAUGGGUAGCGAACAGGAUUAGAUACCCUGGUAGUCCAUGCCGUACACGAUGAUUACUAAGUGUUGGAGGGUUUCCGCCCUUCAGUGCUGCAGCUAACGCAUUAAGUAAUCCGCCUGGGGAGUACGACCGCAAGGUUGAAACUCAAAAGAAUUGACGGGGGCCCGCACAAGCGGUGGAGCAUGUGGUUUAAUUCGAAGCUACGCGAAGAACCUUACCAGGUCUUGACAUCUUCUGACAGUCUAAGAGAUUAGAGGUUCCCUUCGGGGACAGAAUGACAGGUGGUGCAUGGUU